rnacentral:rRNA from 1 species
GCCGCCGCGGUAAUACGUAGGGGGCAAGCGUUAUCCGGAUUUACUGGGUGUAAAGGGAGCGUAGGCGGCCAUGCAAGUCAGAAGUGAAAGCCCGGGGCUCAACCCCGGGACUGCUUUUGAAACUGUAAGGCUAGAUUGCCGGAGAGGUAAGCGGAAUUCCUAGUGUAGCGGUGAAAUGCGUAGAUAUUAGGAGGAACACCAGUGGCGAAGGCGGCUUACUGGACGGUAAAUGACGCUGAGGCUCGAAAGCGUGGGGAGCAAACAGGAUUAGAUACCCC